AAGACUAUACUUUCAGGGAUCAUUUCUACAGUUCGUUACUAGAGAAGUUUCUCUGAACACGUAGAGUACCCAAAACCAUGAAGAGGAGGUGCAAUGUCCCUUCCUGAGCAUGAAGCUGGCUCUGGGCGUGGCUUCUGCAGCUGCCCUUUGUCACUGAUGGUCGUUCUUCUCCUCCUCUGGGAAACUAGGAGGGAAGGGACACCAUUUGAGUAGU
ensembl:snoRNA U3 Small nucleolar RNA U3